ensembl:lincRNA
CCACUCAGUACAAUACUUCUAGCUGGGUAUCUUGUUGUCCAGAUUUUUUAUUUCCAUGGGUCAUUUAAAAAAAAUCUAGGGAAGUUAUAUAGGAUGGCUAACUUUGUUUUUUAGCAAAUAAAAUAUUAAAAAUAGCUGUCAUCAUGCUGGGGUGUAGCUCAGAGGUAGAGCAUUUGCUUAGCAUGUGUGGGAGCCUGGGUUCUAUCCUAGUACCACCACCACCAUCACAAAACAACAACAAAAGAAUCUGCCCUCUGAUGUCACUAUGAUUCAUCAAGGAGGGGCCCAGGAGUUGAGGAGGAGGUGAGGACAGAGCCUCAAGGCCUUUGGAGCUGUGCAGUUGGGUUAUUCACACCCUCUGCCUUGUUUCCUCGCCCCAGUGGGCAGGGUGUGAGCAAUGUAGGCUCCACGGGGGGGCCUCUGCUUCAGGUGGGCUUAAGGCUGCUCACAGGGAGAAGACUAAGGACAUCUUGGGCUGAGGAGUGGGAGUUCUCUGUGGGAGUGAGCCCAUCUGUACUUUGCUUUAUGACGUCAGGCCACACCUGAGCUCCUGGUGUCACGAGCGGUCUGUGCUGUGGUGUGGGAUGACGCGAGAAAUGGGCCAGCAGUCUCAUCCUCCAUUGUGACAAUACUCCUUGUCACACAUGGUUUCUGGCACAGGAAUUCCUGCCAAAUAAAACAUUUCAGUGUUUGUGUCUUUCAUUGCCUCAUCCCUGGCAGUAAUGCACCCCCAGGCUUUAGAUCGGAGCCCUGCCAACCUGACUGCUGCAGCCUGUGCCUACUUGGCCUUGCGAUGGUCACAUCUAGGGGUGUGCCUGUGGCGUGGUGAUGCCUGUCCCAACACCAGGAGGAAGACAGGCAAGCCUGCUGUCAGCAUCUCCUGCCCGCUCUGCCCCAGGAGCAGCCCUGCCCACUCACACUUCCCACAGCAACUGGGGAAGUGCCGGCCACCUGGGGUCACUGUCUUCCAGCUGUUGAGCCAGGAAGGAGUUGGCAGGGGCAAGAGACUUUCUGGGUGGGGCAGGAGAGGCCUCAGGGUCGGCCGGUCUGCCAAGGCUGAUGGGGGACACUGGCCCUGUACUUAGUGUGUGCACAGCCCCAGUGACUGUGCACUGACAACUCUGUUUCUCAGAUGGGGAAACUGAGGCUUGAGAGUGACUUGUCAGGGCGAGUAAGCAACACAGUUUCAAUUUGAACACAGCUUCCUGGCCACAGAGCCUGUUAACAAACUCCUGGCCCCUUUGCACUGAGCUCCAAAAGCCCGUGGGUCCUGUCUCUCCUGCACCUUUUCUCUACCUUCUCAGACCCAGUUUCAGACUCACAGGACGUUUAUCUGAAGCUGUUUGCAGGAUAAGGUCCAAGGGCCAGGGAGGCGUUGGACCCCUCUGAGCCUUUCUGGGUUUGCAUUCCAGCACCCUGGGGAGAGGCCUGGCGCCACAAGUCCCCGAUUUGGUCUGCUGGAGAGUGACCAUGGGUCCACUGAGCCACAGUGCACUGGGCAUGCUGCUGUCCAGCACCUGUCAGCCCUUCCCUGUUCUCCAGCUUGCCAUCAGGGCUUCAUCACAGCCUCUGGCCCAGAGCCCUGGACUCUGUAGGGUAUGCUGGUGGGCUGAGAACUGGGCCUUCAGCGGACAGAAACCAGCAGGUGGCUUCUGCACCCAGUGUGAAGAUCUCUAGAUUUUUCUAGAGAAGCUGCAAGUGUAGAUUUUUUUUGUGGGGGGA